CCACGCCGUAAACGAUGGGCACUAGGUGUGGGAGGUGUCGACUCCUCCCGUGCCGAAGCUAACGCAUUAAGUGCCCCGCCUGGGGAGUACGGCCGCAAGGCUAAAACUCAAAGGAAUUGACGGGGGCCCGCACAAGCAGCGGAGCAUGUGGUUUAAUUCGACGCAACGCGAAGAACCUUACCUGGGCUUGACAUGUAGGUGACAGGUGUGGAAACACAUCCUCCCUUCGGGGCACCUUCACAGGUGGUGCAUGGCUGU
rnacentral:rRNA from 1 species